rnacentral:rRNA from 1 species
GACAGAGGUCCCGAGCGUUAGGCGGAAUCACUGGGCUUAAAGCGUGUGUAGGCGGACUUCUAAGUACCUUGUGAAAUCCCACGGCUUAACCGUGGAACUGCUUGGUAUACUGGUUGUCUUGGGCCAUCUAGGGGCUACUGGAACAAACGGUGGAGCGGUGAAGUGCGUAGAUAUCGUUUGGAACGCCAAUGGUGAAAACAAGUAGCUGGGGAUGUGCCGACGCUGAGACACGAAAGCCAGGGGAGCGAACGGG